rnacentral:rRNA from 1 species
UUCAGUCAAAUCUGCCCGGUGAAUUUUUAACGGCCGCAGUAUCUUAACUGUGCUAAGGUAGCGUAAUCAUUAGCUUUCUAAUUAAAAGCCCGUAUGAACGAUCCGACGAAAAACUAACUGUCUCGAAACUGCUAAGAACUUCUUUUGAAAGUUAAAAACCUUUCCAUCUUCAAUAGGACGACAAGACCCUGCAAAACUUUACUCACCCCUAGGAUUUACCCUUAGGAAUCUUAUAUUCUUAGCUCGAGUUUUACUGGGGCGGUAAUAACCUUUCCAAACGUUUAACACGCUAACAUAGUGUAUGAAAUUUACGAACUUUUUAAACUAAGACCAAGUUACUUCAGGGAUAACAGCGCAAUUAACCCUUAGAGUCCUUAUCGACGGGUUCGUUUACGACCUCGAUGUUGAAUUGAAUUCCCUCCUUUGAGCAAAAACUAAGAAAGGAAGUCUGUUCGACU